rnacentral:rRNA from 1 species
GUAGGUGGCAAGCGUUGUCCGGGAAUUAUUGGGGCGUAAAGCGCGCGCAGGUGGUUCGUUUAAGGUCUGAUGUGAAAGACCCCCCCGGGCUCAACCGGGGGAGGGUCAUUGGAAACUGGGGAACUUGAGUGCAGGAGAGGAAAGUGGAAUUCCACGUGUAGCGGUGAAAUGCGUAGAUAUGUGGAGGAACACCAGUGGCGAAGGCGACUUUCUGGCCUGUAACUGACACUGAGGCGCGAAAGCGUGGGGAGCAAACAGGAUUAGAUACCCUGGUAGUCCACGCCGUAAACGAUGAGUGCUAAGUGUUGGGGGGGUUUCCGCCCCUCAGUGCUGCAGCUAACGCAUUAAGCACUCCGCCUGGGGAGUACGGUCGCAAAGACUGA